rnacentral:tRNA from 1 species
CAAUAGCUCAGCAGGAUAGAGCAAUUGCCUUCUAAGCAAUAGGUCGGGGGUUCGAAUCCCUCUUG